rnacentral:ncRNA from 21 species
GGCAGAGUAGGUGUUAUGCGUUAAGUGUUAGGGGAUGGGAAGUUGCUCCUAAACGAAGAACUCAUUUCGCGAUAUAACACCGCGUCCACUGUC